UCAAAUGGAUUAGUCUUGGAGAAUCCGAGCAAAAUAAAUACAAACAGAAAGCUAAUGACAUGAAAAACAACCCAGUGACAUUAGAUGAUGCUCAAAGAACAAAAUUGGUUGAUCAGCAUAUGAAACUUUUAGCUGAGGAGUUCAGUUACUUGGAGUAUCUGGUUUGCCAGGCCAGCUGCUUACUGGUGAAUGGAAAAACAGAACUUUAUGUCCUUGGUUUCUCAGGAUGAAAAAGAUUUAUUCACAAUGAACCAGCAGUUUUGUGCAAGUUUCAAGCAAUGUUUGAUGUAGACCGAGAAAAACAGAAAUGGACUCAUGAGGAUAUAAGAAUGCUCUUUAACAAGAAGUAUAGUGAAGCAAAAGGUGUGACUGGUUCUCGCAUUCUAUAUCUUUCUGGUGUUUUUAUGUUGAAGGACUACCAGAUAACAUUCGCCUGAAGAAGCCACAACAAUAUGGCUCAAAGGAAAUACAGAAAAUCAUGGACUGCCAGGACAGUAUUUCCUUCAUUCUUGAAACGUCAGAAGGUGCACCUUUGCAAGAUUUUGGUGAAGACUGCAAGGAAUUGCUUAGUAAUGUAUUCGGAAAAUGUGACUUUAAAGUAUUAAAAGAAGAUGUGGAGGUAUUUGAUAUUAAUGAGACACAUAGCAUUUCUGAAAUCAAAGAAAUAAUAUCAACACACUGGAAAGUGUUAUGUCCAGAAGCUUUGACAGAGUUAAAAAAAAUGAAUGCACAAGUGUCUCAGGCAAAUCAUUUCGUUUUGCCUGUGUACUGUGAU